rnacentral:rRNA from 1 species
GGGGAUCUGUUAGAGCAAUCGAAGCAGUGAACUUAAGCCCCAGUAAACGGCGGCCGUAACUAUAACGGUCCUAAGGUAGCGAAAUUCCUUGUCGGGUAAGUUCCGACCCGCACGAAAGGCGUAACGAUUUGGGCACUGUCUCAACAACAGACUCGGUGAAAUUGUAAUUCCGGUGAAGAUGCCGGAUACCUGCGACAGGACGGAAAGACCCC